rnacentral:lncRNA from 1 species
GGAGAAUCACAUGAACCCGGGAAGCGGAGCCUGCAGUGAGCCGAGAUCGCGCCACUGCACUCCAGCCUGGGCGACAGCGAGACUCCGUCUCAAAAAAUAUGUAUAUAUAUUACAGAGAUAGCCAUAACUAAUUAAAGGGGUUAGAGAAGCCAACUCUUGCCACAUGCUUGGGAGAAGAACUAGAAAACCUGUGGACAGCCCUUAUGACAAGCACAGCUUCCUGCGGUUCCCAGGGGAAGUUAGUGCCACAGGAUGGAGGCUUUUUCUGGGAUACCACCCACUGCAAGGCACCCAAUAAUUGAACUCUUGUUAUGUGGGAUGGCAACAUCGAUAUAGAACAGAGGAGUCUGAUUGACACUGACCAACUUGGGCGAGUGAACGGAAAAUGCCUCUGUGAGAAGCUCAGGGUCAGCCUUGGGAUCAGCAAUCACCAAAAAGCCAAGCUCUCCAAGCUGCAGUGGAUCUGGUUACUGAAAAUCCCAGAAGUGAAGUGCCCAGCAGUGUGUAUGGCUUCAGAUGGCCGAGGAACAUGUUAGUAGACUUCACUGGCCAGUGAUCCUGGGGGAAUGGAUGGCAUCAAUGGCUGGGUUUGGGUUUAUUUUCUUUUUUUAGACAGGGUCUUGCUCUCUUGCCCAGGCUGGUGUGAAGUGGUGCAGUCAUAGUUCAAUGCAGCCUCGACCUCCUGGGCUCAAGUGAUCUUCGGCCUCUGGAAGUGCUGGUAUUAUAGGCAUGAGCCACCACACGAGGCCAAUAGCGGGGUUUCUACUGGCAAAAUUAAAAAAAAAAUCAAAAUCAACUGGGUAUGGUGGUGCCCACGUGUAGUACCAGCUACUCGGGAGGCUGGGGUAGGAGAUUGAGCCUGGGAGGUCAAGGCUGCAGUGAGCCAUGACUGAGCCACUGCAUUCCAGCCUGGGGAACAGAAUGAGACCUCAUCUCUAAAAAUAAAAAAUACAAAUAAAUAAAUACAUAGUUGGCUACCAUUGAAAAUAUUUAAAUAUCAAUCUAAGAUUAAAUAAUUUAAAAAGUCUGAGGUACAGAAUGGAAUAUACUAUACAUGUUAUGAAUACUAGUAAAUUGAAAGUAGUAAUAUAAUGAAAAAAUCUGGGUGUAGGGGAAGACUGAGGAAAAUAUUAAAAAUAAAUAGCGACUGGGCUGGGCAUGGUGGCUCAUGCCUGUAAUUUCAGCACUUUGGGAGGUCAAGGCAGGCAGGUCACUUAAGCCCAAGAGUUCCAGACCAGCCUGGCCAAGAUGGUGAAAACUGGUCUCUACUAAAAAUGUAAAAACUACCCGGGCAUGGUGUCGCAUGCCUGUAAUCCCAGCUACUCGGGAGGCUGAGGCUUGAGGAUCGCUUGAACCUGGGAGGCAGAGGUUGCAGUGAGCCAAGAUCGCGCCACUGCACUCCAGCCUGAGCAACAGAGUGAGACUCCGUCUCAAAAAAAAAAAAAAAAAAUGAACAAAGACAGGAUUUGAGCCAAAGCCCACUGCCUCCUAAAUUGCUGGGAUUCCCAAGAAUUCAGCUUCUAGUGUGACCAAAACAAAGAUGGAGACAAGUCGCCCUGCAGGGUAGGGCACAAUGGAGGUGGGGGUGGGAGGGCAGAGCUGCUGACCUCUGACCUCUGCCAAGGCAGACGCAUUGGACAACAGAGCAGGACCUGAGGUGAGGCUAAUUCCUCCAGGUGUGAAGAAACACCUUAGGGGGGCCAGGCGCAGUGGCUCACACCUGUAACCCCAACAUUUUGGGAGGCUGAGGCAGCCGGAUCACCUGAGGUCAGGAGUUUGUGACCAACCUGGCCAACAUGGUGAAACCCUCUACUAAAAAUACAAAAAUCAGUUGGUGUGGUGUCAGGCGCCUGUAAUCCCAGCUACUCGGGAGGCUGAGGCAGGAGAAUCACUUGAACCUGGGAGGUGGAAGUUGCAGUGAGCCGAGAUCACACCACUGCA